rnacentral:rRNA from 1 species
GCAGCAGUGGGGAAUAUUGGACAAUGGGCGAAAGCCUGAUCCAGCCAUGCCGCGUGUGUGAAGAAGGCCUUCGGGUUGUAAAGCACUUUCAGCGAGGAAGAACGCCUUGGGAUUAAUACUCCCGAGGGAAGACAUCACUCGCAGAAGAAGCACCGGCUAACUCCGUGCCAGCAGCCGCGGUAAUACGGAGGGUGCAAGCGUUAAUCGGAAUUACUGGGCGUAAAGCGCGCGUAGGUGGCUAAGUCAGCCAGGUGUGAAAGCCCCGGGCUCAACCUGGGAACGGCAUCUGGAACUGCUUGGCUAGAGUGCAGGAGAGGAAGGUAGAAUUCCCGGUGUAGCGGUGAAAUGCGUAGAGAUCGGGAGGAAUACCAGUGGCGAAGGCGGCCUUCUGGACUGACACUGACACUGAGGUGCGAAAGCGUGGGUAGCAAACAGGAUUAGAUACCCUGGUAGUCCACGCCGUAAACGAUGUCAACUAGCCGUUGGGUCCCUUGAGGACUUAGUGGCGCAGCUAACGCAAUAAGUUGACCGCCUGGGGAGUACGGCCGCAAGGUUAAAACUCAAAUGAAUUGACGGGGGCCCGCACAAGCGGUGGAGCAUGUGGUUUAAUUCGAUGCAACGCGAAGAACCUUACCUACCCUUGACAUCCAGAGGACUUUCCAGAGAUGGA